GAUGAACGCUGGCGGCAGGCUUAACACAUGCAAGUCGAGCGGGGGAGGUUGCUUCGGUAACUGACCUAGCGGCGGACGGGUGAGUAAUGCUUAGGAAUCUGCCUAUUAGUGGGGGACAACAUUCCGAAAGGAAUGCUAAUACCGCAUACGCCCUACGGGGGAAAGCAGGGGAUCUUCGGACCUUGCGCUAAUAGAUGAGCCUAAGUCGGAUUAGCUAGUUGGUGGGGUAAAGGCCUACCAAGGCGACGAUCUGUAGCGGGUCUGAGAGGAUGAUCCGCCACACUGGGACUGGGACACGGCCCAGACUCCUACGGGAGGCAGCAGUGGGGAAUAUUGGACAAUGGGCGGAAGCCUGAUCCAGCCAUGCCGCGUGUGUGAAGAAGGCCUUUUGGUUGUAAAGCACUUUAAGCGAGGAGGAGGCUCUUAAGGUUAAUACCCUUGAUGAGUGGACGUUACUCGCAGAAUAAGCACCGGCUAACUCUGUGCCAGCCGCCGCCGUAAGAC
rnacentral:rRNA from 1 species